rnacentral:rRNA from 1 species
AGAGUUUGAUCAUGGCUCAGAGCGAACGCUGGCGGCAGGCCUAACACAUGCAAGUCGAGCGGGCACCUUCGGGUGUCAGCGGCAGACGGGUGAGUAACACGUGGGAACGUGCCCUUUGGUUCGGAACAACUCCGGGAAACUGGAGCUAAUACCGGAUAAGCCCUUCGGGGGAAAGAUUUAUCGCCAAAGGAUCGGCCCGCGUCUGAUUAGCUAGUUGGUAGGGUAACGGCCUACCAAGGCGACGAUCAGUAGCUGGUCUGAGAGGAUGAUCAGCCACACUGGGACUGAGACACGGCCCAGACUCCUACGGGAGGCAGCAGUGGGGAAUAUUGGACAAUGGGCGAAAGCCUGAUCCAGCCAUGCCGCGUGAGUGAUGAAGGCCCUAGGGUUGUAAAGCUCUUUUAGCGGGGAAGAUAAUGACGGUACCCGCAGAAUAAGCCCCGGCUAACUUCGUGCCAGCAGCCGCGGUAAUACGAAGGGGGCUAGCGUUGCUCGGAAUCACUGGGCGUAAAGGGCGCGUAGGCGGCCAUUCAAGUCGGGGGUGAAAGCCCAGGGCUCAACCCUGGAAUUGCCUUCGAUACUGUUUGACUAGAGACCGGAAGAGGUAAGUGGAACUGCGAGUGUAGAGGUGAAAUUCGUAGAUAUUCGCAAGAACACCAGUGGCGAAGGCGGCUUACUGGUCCGGUUCUGACGCUGAGGC